AGGACGAACGCUGGCGGCGUGCUUAACACAUGCAAGUCGAGCGGUAAGGCUCCUUCGGGAGUACACGAGCGGCGAACGGGUGAGUAACACGUGAGUAAUCUGCCCUUCACUUCGGGAUAACCGCCGGAAACGGUGGCUAAUACCGAAUACGACGCGCUUUCGCAUGAGAUGCGCGUGGAAAGUUUUCUCGGUGAAGGAUGUGCUCG
rnacentral:rRNA from 1 species